GGUUAAGGAAGUUUUUAGGGUUUUUGCCAAUGAUAUACGGCAGGUUGCUUCCACACUAUCAUUCUCUGAAGUUCUGCCUGUGCAUAACACUCAGAACGACAAGUGGAUGCGUAUUAGGGACUUUAAUUUGUGGCUUGGUGAAUGGUGUCGGGAGCAAGGAUUUGGCUUUAUUUCUCAUGGUAGCUCUGUUUGGAAUGGAGAUAAGCUGUACAAAAAAGAU